CCCUGCCCUUUGUACACACCGCCCGUCGCUCCUACCGAUUUCGAGUGGUCCGGUGAGCCUUUUGGACCGAGGGGCAACCUUCGCAAAUCAAGCAAACCUUAUCACUUAGAGGAAGGAGAAGUCGUAACAAGGUU
rnacentral:rRNA from 1 species